GGAUUCCGAAUUCUGGUAACCUAAAUUAUUCAUAGGAUAAUGAUUAUUUUAAAAAUUAUAUCACGCAAACCUGGAAAUAUUAAGCAUUUUUUCCCUGGAUCUAUUAUCUGACAUGGUUGAGAUAUCUGGUUUCUACCAGUAACAUCUCUCCAUCUCUCGACACAGUAAUUGUUUAACAAAGAGAAAGAUGUUUCAUGUUCUGAACUACUUAAAAACUUCAUUUGCUCAAACAAUCUAAGAAGGCGGAACAAGUUUUUUUUUAUGGAAUUCCGGAAACAGCUUAAUAUUUUAUUUGACAAAAAAUAUUGAUAUUCAUUUUGUGAGUAAAAAGAUCGGCCAGAUCGCAGAGAUCGUCAACAUUGCAUGUACUUGCCUAGCUUCCAUGUACGAUCAAUGUACAGCUUCCAAAUAUGUACAACAUUCACGCACAUCAUUUAUUCAGUAGAUCGUUAUCACUUGUUAUAUAUUUGAAUUCAACCUGAUGAAAUUGUACUGCCAACAUCUAUCUAUAUUUGGUGGUUCACGUUUUAUCGAUCUUAUUGAAUUUAAUGUUUUACGAAUCUUAAUUUUAUGAGGCACUUUUUUAUGCAUUUGUUCAAAGUAUAAAUUGUGCUUUUUCAAAGCAAAACUUUUUUAUUCUAUUCCGUGAUGAUAAAGCAAUUGGUUGCAAUUUAAAUGCGUAUGUGAUCAUAUAUUAAAUAAAUUCUAAAUAAUGGAUGCAAUUGGGCGUGUUAAAAUUUUUUUUAUAGGAAGGGGAGGGUUUAAUAGACCCCCCCCCCAAAAAAAAAAACAUGUUUAAUGUUACGCCUCUGAUGCACGCAUGUAGUUAAUAUAUUAUUCUUUAUGUAAAUAUUUUAUUGGAUUAAUCAAAAUUUGACAAAAUGCUUUCACCAAAAUUGUUAAUUUAAGUCUGCCUAGAGAUUGCUUCAAUAUAUUCUUGUGCCAUACAGUACAAUGUACAUAAAAGCUAUCUUAUCUAUGUAUAAACAAUGAUGUUAUUAUGUAAAACAAAAGAAUGUUAAUCGAAUCUGUAAUAAAAGUUUUUAAAUAUGUCAUGUAUACUAGUAUAUGUACAAUAUACAUUACAUACGUGACCAAAUGUUGACCAUGGCCAUGUUAAUUAUAGUUGUAUAAUCAUCAAUAAAUGUGAUCUGUAUGUGUUGUACACUAUGUACACUAUGUAAAAGAAUCUGCACUUAAUGUAAAUAUAUAAUAGAUAAAUCAAG